CUGGUUGCUUUUGACUGCAGGUUCAGCAGCAGGUUCGUGUUCAGCAGAUGUUUGUUUUGUCUCCUUUGCUCUGAAGUUUGAAGAAAACACAAAGAGAAGGGAAAUAGGACAUUACUCCAUCGUUACCUGAAAAACAGUGCUGAUGAUGUUGUCAUGCCUAAGCCAUGUGCUGCUCUUGCUCACCUUCGCAUCCAUCACAGUACCUGUAUCAGCUGUCCCUACUGUACAGGUGAAGUUUAAUCAGUCUGCUGCUCUGCCCUGUGAAUGGAACUGUUCUCGUGAGGCCAAAUGGACUCUGCUCAGUAAUGGAGAUGUUGUAGUGGCUCGGUGUAAUCAGACAUCCUGCUGGUCAGAAGAGGGAUUUAAAAUGUUCCAUGAUCAGUACCUGAAGGGAGAUCUCACCCUCACCAUCACUGCAGCUGAUUACAGUAUGAGGGGUUUAUACACGUGUGAGUGUGAUGGCACAGACAUUAAUGACCUGCGUC